UACAGAGGGUGCAAGCGUUGUUCGGAAUUAUUGGGCGUAAAGAGCGUGUAGGCGGCCAGGUAGGUCCGUUGUGAAAACUCGAGGCUCAACCUCGAGACGUCGAUGGAAACCAUCUGGCUAGAGUCCGGAAGAGGAGAAUGGAAUUCUCGGUGUAGAGGUGAAAUUCGUAGAUAUCGAGAGGAACACCUGUGGCGAAGGCGGCCUUCUGGACGGUUACUGACGCUGAGACGCGAAAGCGUGGGGAGCAAACAGG
rnacentral:rRNA from 1 species